UAAAUAACUCUGACAAUAGUGUUCUGUCUCCUAUCUACAGGUUUCAAACACGGGACCGAUGCUAUGAAAAUAUAGCAAACAUACAAAAAUAUAUACAUUUGGAAACAACAAAACCAACCCAUAUAAAUUACUUACAAUAGACAUAAGGUGAGACGGCGACGGCGAAGGGAACGCAGCCCCGGGGAGGCCUCGGCACCCCCAUGCUGUGAGCAGGGGCAGCCCCACAGCACAGCCCCAUGGCACAGCCCAGCUGUAGCCCAGUGUCCCGGGGAGCUGCAGGACCCCAAUUAAAGCUCUUUGAGGGCUUCACCUGCCUCCCCAAUGCCUUUGUGCUUGUGUCGGAGGGUACCAGGAGGGCCCGGCCCCGCAGGGGCUGCGUUCGCUUCCUCAGCGCUCGCUCGUCUCAGUUUAGGAUUUAAACAACCAAAAAUACUGCUUCUGUGCUCUAUUAGCCCGUCCUGGGGAGCUGCAUGUGUCGGUAGCCGAGGAAAGCCUUGUUUAAAGUGCUGGGCAGUACAUAGAACAAGUAAACCAAGUAACAAAUACAGAUACUUACGUCAAUACAUUCCUUGGGGUUAGAAAAGCCAAGCGGGGAGCAGGGGCCGGGGGGGGAGCGCAGCGAAGCCAGCACCUUGGCAACCCCACACCCAGAGCAGCCCCUCGGGCUGAGCUGCUGCUCCUGAUCCCUGCGGAGCCUGGCCGGGGAGCGGGGCCGGCAGCUCGCUGCAAUGUCACUUCUUUUAAAUAUUGGGUUUCUUUAAAUACAAACAGUAAGUACCAAUUUCUGGAGGAUAAAAAGGAGCCAAUACUGGAAAUUAACUGAUCAGGGUGUAGAUAUCGUUGCUCUAUCUCUAUUUAUGCUUAAGAGAAAAAAAAAAAGAUGGGUUAAAUAUCUUCUCGAAAGCUGUAGCUUUCCUCCACAGUGUGUCUGGUCGACAAACAUCCAAGACUCAGUUCAAACCUUCAAGGCCUGGGGCUCCCCUUCUCCCCUUUUCCAUCCGGCACAGCC
rnacentral:lncRNA from 1 species